rnacentral:rRNA from 1 species
AAUUUAUACGGCGAAACUGCGAAUGGCUCAUUAAAUCAGUUAUCGUUUAUUUGAUAGUACCUUACUACAUGGAUAACCGUGGUAAUUCUAGAGCUAAUACAUGCUGAAAACCCCGACUUCGGGAGGGGUGUAUUUAUUAGAUAAAAAACCAACGCCCUUCGGGGCUCCUUGGUGAUUCAUGAUAACUUAACGAAUCGCAUGGCCUUGCGCCGGCGAUGGUUCAUUCAAAUUUCUGCCCUAUCAACUUUCGAUGGUAGGAUAGUGGCCUACCAUGGUAUCAACGGGUAACGGGGAAUUAGGGUUCGAUUCCGGAGAGGGAGCCUGAGAAACGGCUACCACAUCCAAGGAAGGCAGCAGGCGCGCAAAUUACCCAAUCCCGACACGGGGAGGUAGUGACAAUAAAUACUGAUACAGGGCUCUUUUGGGUCUUGUAAUUGGAAUGAGUACAAUUUAAAUCCCUUAACGAGGAACAAUUGGAGGGCAAGUCUGGUGCCAGCAGCCGCGGUAAUUCCAGCUCCAAUAGCGUAUAUUAAAGUUGUUGCAGUUAAAAAGCUCGUAGUUGAACCUUGGGCCUGGCCGGCCGGUCCGCCUCACCGCGUGCACUGGUUCGGCCGGGCCUUUCCUUCUGGGGAGCCGUAUGCCCUUCACUGGGUGUGCUGGGGAACCAGGACUUUUACUUUGAAAAAAUUAGAGUGUUCAAAGCAGGCCUUUGCUCGGAUACAUUAGCAUGGAAUAAUAGAAUAGGACGUGCGGUUCUAUUUUGUUGGUUUCUAGGACCGCCG